rnacentral:lncRNA from 1 species
CUAUUUUCCAGUUCAAAUAUGGCUAACAUGAUUAGAGUAGGCAUGGAGAAGAAAAAGUACUCUAAAUAUGACUGAGUAAUUAAGUUUGGUUUUCUAGUGUGGAACAAGAAUGUACUUCCCAGCGGGCUCCAUGUAUUGGCAUCACCCAGCUGUUUGAAGAAUUUUCUUGAUGAAAGCAAAAACCGAGGGAGAACAAGGAAAAACAGGUGGUGUGUCAACAGCAAAGUUUCAGUGUGACAUCUGCAGGUGGCUCUGUGGAUCCAAGGUCAGGGAAAUUGACUUCAAAAGAGUCUUCCUUGGGAUGCCAAGUCUUCAAAACCUAAAUGAGAAUGGAGAGAGUUAAAAGAGUCUUAAAAAUGGAAAAAAGGGAAAUAAAGCAUAUCAAGGCAUUCAUAAACUUUAGAAAGGAUUUAAUUCUGUUCAAAUAUGUCUAUUUAUCUACCAUCUAUCCAAUACACAUAUUACUCUUCUUUUUGGUAUGAUAUUAAAACUGCAGAGUACUGUAUGUUUCAUUAUGUCCAUAAUAACACACACACACACACACACACCCCCCUCAAAACGCCUAUGAAACCUUUUGUCUUUUAUUGCCAUCUCACACCAAACCAGUAGGGUGUGCUCAUAACUCAACAUUUUACUUGUCACAGCCCCACCCUGACCCUGUGGUGUUUUUACUAAUGGUAAACAAAAAUAGCACAUGUUGUAAGAGAUAAAACGCCCAAUCUGCAUGUUGCUCUUGCAUUUGGUUUCAUGGCUCAUUAAAAUGACAUAUUUAUGAUGUACUUUACUUGCUUUGGUUUCUCUGCUGAAAUGUUGAUCAAUGUGUUCCUCAAUGAAAUGAAAUGUUCGUCAUUGUCUUCUCCUGGAGAGAGGAGAACGAGGUAAGAGACAGAAGCAGCAUUUAAAGAAACACUGGUCAGGAAAUUUUCAACUUUGAAAGAAAAUAUCAACCUACAGAUUCAAGAUGUACUUCAGACCGAAGCACGGCACAGAAGAAAGGUCAUCUGCAACCAAAGGAGACAGACAUCAACAGACUCUGACUGUACUGGCCAUUGAUCUUGCCUUCCAGUGCCCCACACAGAGCAGCAAACCUUGGAAUUACAUCAUCAUGGAAAUAAAACAAAAAGCAAAAGAAGAUGAGCCAUCCUUAAGGGGAUUCUGGAAGGGUCCAUUGGUAAAAUAA